rnacentral:rRNA from 1 species
UUACGGUCAAAUCACGCUGAAAACACCGAUCCUCCGUUCGAUCACCGAAGUUAAGCAUCGUAGAGCCAGGUCAGUACUUAGAUAGGGGACCGCUUGGGAACACCUGGUACUGUAAG